UAUCAACUUUUCGAUGGUAGGAUAGAGGCCUACCAUGGUGGUAACGGGUAACGGGGUGUUAGGGCACGACACCGGAGAGGGAGCCUGAGAAACGGCUACCACAUCCAAGGAUGGCAGCAGGCGCGCAAAUUACCCAAUCCCGACACGGGGAGGUAGUGACAAUAAAUAACAAUACGGGGUUCUUUAGGAUCUCGUAAUUGGAAUGAGUACAAUUUAAAUCUCUUAACGAGGAACAAUUGGAGGGCAAGUCUGGUGCCAGCAGCCGCGGUAAUUCCAGCUCCAAUAGCGUAUAUUAAAGUUGUUGCAGUUAAAAAGCUCGUAGUUGAAUUUCGGGGUUAGUAGGUUGGUCAUGCCUCUGGUAUGUACUGGUCUCACUGAUUCCUCCUUCCUGAUGAACCUUAAUGCCAUUAAUUUGGUGUUUUGGGGAAUUUGGACUGUUACUUUGAAAAAAUUAGAGUGUUUAAAGCAAGCUAACGCUUGAAUACAUUAGCAUGGAAUAAUGAAAUAGGACGUUCGAUCCUAUUUUGUUGGUUUCUAGGAUUGACGUAAUGAUUAAUAGGGAUAGUUGGGGGCAUUAGUAUUCAAUUGUCAGAGGUGAAAUUCUUGGAUUUAUUGAAGACUAACUACUGCGAAGGCAUUUGCCAAGGAUGUUUUCAUUAAUCAAGAACGAAAGUUAGGGGAUCGAAGGCGAUCAGAUACCGUCGUAGUCUUAACCAUAAACUAUGCCGACUAGGGAUCGGAUGAUGUUAAUUUUUUAAUGACUCAUUCGGCGCCUUACGGGAAACCAAAGUGNUUUGGGUUCA
rnacentral:rRNA from 1 species